ACGCGGGCCCCGUCCUGGAGCCUCGCACGCCCGCCGAUGCCUGAGGAGCUUCCAGUUAUGACCCAGAGGAAAGAAUGUGAACAGCAUGGCUGCAGAGAGGAAUUCCAAGUGAUGUAUGUGAAACUGCCAAAAUGAGAAUUGCAGCUGAAGGAAGUGAGCCAGCAGUCUAACUACAAUCAAUAUCCAGGUUAAGUAAACAAUUACACUCUGCCAGAGCUGGAAGAAAAUCCACACAGCCUGACAAGGUACCUGAAGUGUCUUCAGGAAAUGUGCAAAAUGGGAAACGUUUCCAGAAGAGAACUAAUUCUUGCAGUGCUGCAUUGCUGCUUUAUAAAUAAAUCAUUGUCCUUUCUCUAUUGAUCACUGGAACAGUCCAGUCGAAGAAUGCUGACUUAGUGCAGCCCUUCGCAGGAUGGCUGGAUUGAGAGGAAAAGCCGGGGAAAAUACAUGCCUUAAAGCUUCAAUAUGAAUUCAGAUGGCAGUGGCUAGUCAGUGUGACACCCAGUGUGGAACUGUAGAUAAUUACUGAUUACUGCAGAAGAGUGAAUAUCCUCUAAGAAAUAAAGGUGAAGAGGAUGGAACGAGAAUGUCUUGUCUAAGGGGAGUUAGAUGAUCCUCCUGCAGUAAGACCUUUGCAUCCUCAAAAGGCAGCACCAGAAAUUUCUCAUAAAGUUUGACCUGUUGUUCUGAAGAAGGAGAAGCUGGAAGGAUGCUUGACCCCUCCAUGGAUGCAGUAGGAUCAGUUCUGGCCAGAGCUGUGAUGUGUGGGGAGGCUCAGAGGAGACGCUGCUAGCAGCCUGCAGGUGACCACGGGACCCCAUGGGCCAGCCAGGAAGCUGAACAGAGUAUUCCCAAUGGCUGAUUCAAUGCACUUUUUUACUGGUGGAGAAAGGAAAUAGACACACACAAGUGUUCCCUCAGAGCAGGGGAGUGGCUUCCCACCUAGUUGCUGGAGCCAGCUUGGGGCAGAUCUCUAUUAUUUUGAAGAAAUCCACAUUUGUCCUGCUGACAAUGUAGGGAGAGGUUAUUCUUCACUGUAGUGGCAUCAGAGGAAACUCUUAGGAGGAUUACGUUAUAUGAAUGAGUUUGAUAGGAGUCACCAUGGUGAGGAAAGGAUAAUGGAAUUUCAGGUCUGUGCUGGUCUGCAUUAAUUAAAUGUAGGUAUGUAAGGCCAGAUCAUCAUUACUUCUGUGUCCCUGAUUUAAAUCUGCAGUAAAACAUUUCUCCAUUUAGUUUGGUGCUUUUGUGUCAUAUUUCAUACACUAGUUGUCUCUUAAUUAAAUCCAUGAUAGCCCACCAACACAGACUAUUAAAAUAACUAUACUUUGCACUUGACAUAUUUAUGAGACAGAUUCAUAAGAGUAUAGACUGAUACUUGAACUACUCACUGAGAAAUGCUAAUAAGAUUAUGAUGAAGGUAAGAUUAGAACAUUCGUCUCCUUUUCACUUCUCUCUUCUUUAUAGGAAUUUAUUUUUAUAACUGCAAUUCACUAUUUCUAUUCCAGGCUCUUUGAUGUUGUUGUAUAUACCAACAGUUCUUUCUGAGUCGAUUUAUUGUGGCAAUGAAGAGUGGGAAACUGCUAAUUUAUAUCAUACCAGCAAAGUGCAUAACUGUUGUGUUCCUUGAAGUAUGAAUGUUUGCAGAUGUCUGUAAACCUUUGCAUGGGACUGACAUGUUCAAGAUAAUACCAUUAGAUAUUACCUUUGGAUUUGGGUGAUGAACAAUAUGGAUGAUGGCGAAGUGCCACGUUGUUUUACUUUUAUUAUCUUACUCCUUCAACCCUCAUGGUGGUGUAGAGCUGGCUGAGUCUGCUCCUGGAGGAGGGAGGAGACAGUGGCAUUGUGCCUGUGACCCCUCAGUGACUGUUCCUGUGCCUGUGACCCCUCAGUGCCUGUGCCUGUGCCCUCUCAGUGCCUGUUCCUGUGCCUGUGACCCUUCAGUGCCUGUUUCUGUGCCUGUGACCCCUCAGUGCCUGUCUCUGUGCCUGUGACCCUUCAGUGCCUGUCUCUGUGCCUGUGACCCCUCAGUGCCUGUGCCUGUGACCCCUCAGUGACUGUCUCUGUGCCUGUGACCCCUCAGUGCCUGCGCCUGUGACCCCUCAGCUGUGGCAGAUGCAGUGGAGUGUCCUGAGCUGUGCAAGGUGCUCUGGGCAGCUGGACUGUCACUGCAGUGUUGGAAAUGGCCUGGCUGUAUGGCCUUAGUGGGUAAGGAAAACAGAAAUGCAAGCAAACCCACAAAUUUAAUCACUUGGAAGGCUGUUAUACAUGCUAAGAUUUUAUCAUUCACCUGUAUGGAUAUCUUGGAAUUGCCUUCUUAGCAUUAUUUACAGACAAAGUUGCUGAUAUAAUUUGUUUAUUUUCUUAGUAAUUUGGAUGUGGAAAGUUCAAGGAACUCCAUGUUUGAGAAAAAUAUUGCUGGAAGUGAAAGUGCUGCUAAAUGAAAAUCAUUGAGGAUUUAUAUAAUUUUUUAGGACUGUGAUAUUCCCGUCUUAGGGACCUUUACUCUCUAUUUUUUUUCACAUUCUUUCAUGGAAGAGCUUCCGCUCAUCAUUGUGCUGAGGUCCAGGUGUGGGUACCAAUGGAAAAGGCUCUAAAUAAUGCAGCUUGAAAGGAAUGUAUUUUACAAGUAGAGUCUAUAGAAUGCCAUGUCUACAUGAUGUUCAGAUGUUCAGGAGGAUGGAUAAAUACAUUGCUGUGUUUCAUCCUGGUAUUCUCUGUGAAUGCAAAGAAAGCAUCAAAUUCUGGGAUUUCAUUUAGAAAUAAAUACAAUAUUAGAAAGUAAGAAUAAUAAAGUUAUAUUAAAUAUUUCAUCCUCUACAGAAAUAAACCAGCUACAGUUCAGGGAGCUUCACUAAACACAUUAAAUCUAAUAAAAUUGCCUACACGUACUCCUGACACUAGUAGUAAUUAAAAUAACUUGUUUCAAAAAACUGAUCCUAUACAUGAAUACUUAUUGGCAAUUAUUUCCAAGUUCUUCAAACCAAAGAUAAAGUAAUUUGAUUCACACACAAUGUUCUUGUAAACGUGGUUCAUACUGGUUUUUAUAUGCAGCUUAGGACUGUUAAUUGCCAUUUUGAGCCUCACAGUAAAAUAGAGUUCAAUAUGUCGCUUUUUCUGAAGUAUUGAGAAAUGUUUGAGAAAUGCUUGUCUUAGUCUAAUCAACUGUGAAUAAUUUAUUUCUGAGUCCUACUUUUCAGUAUAAAUGGAUCUGACUUUUCUCAGAGCUUCUCAAGUCUAAUCAAUUUGUUACAUUCAUUUAAUUAAGGAAAUCUGUAGCAAACUGUGAAGUCUAAGUACCAACAGGCUUUUUAGUUGUGCAAAAUUGGUGUAUUUUCAUUGUGAAUGCAAUUGUGAUUGUUUACACUGACAGGUAGCCUCUACUAAAGAAAUAAUUUUUUUUCUACACAUAUGGGUCAAUAUGAAUAGCAUAUCAAUCGUUUUCUGAACUGCCUCUCUUGUAGUGGACCCACUACCCAGCUUCCCAAAUUCACACAGCAGUAGCUUACAGGCAAUUCUCAUUUCUGGAAGGGUUAUGAGUGUUCUUCCAUGCCUCAAAAGGGAGGAAGAUAUAACAGAGGUAUAACUGACAAGAGUGGGGAUAAGAGACUGACUUUUUAGUCACACGUAAGGAUUAAAGCACUGGCACAAGUUUAUGGUCAGGAUCUGCAUGCCACAGAGUCACCCACAAAAGGAUGAGCUAAGAUGCUGAUCCAAAGUCCUGUUUGUGUUUCCCAGCCUUACAUAAUUUGUUCUCAUUUCUCUGAGAAAUCAGCACUCUAGGAAAGGAACAGCUCAUACAAUAAAGGGGUUUGACAUCAUAUAUGCAUUUGUUUUAAAAAAGACCCUAUAUUUAUUUGCUAAUAAAUGUUCAGAAGUCCAUCAUUCCUUUCAUAUUUAUGUGAUAUGAGGAAUAUUUUUUAUUAGAAAUAUAGAGAGAUGCUGUGGAGAUUGACAUAUUAUUUUUUUCUCCUUAUCCUCAGACAAACUCUUCAGACUCAGACAAAAAAGUCCUCAACCCUGGUCUAAAAUACUGUCCAGUGCUUAUGGGUUAUAAAAUGAAAAUCAUCAAAGCUGUCCUUGACAGGAUGUUUCUUUCCAUUAGUUGAUUAAAAUGGUUUAUUGUUGCCUACAGCAUUGUUACUUUAAAUGUAUUUUUUAACAAAGAGCAGAUGUGGCCAUGUCUUGCGCUGUUUCUCUUUCUGUGGUUUCUGAUACAGAAGUGAAUCACCCCCUUGGCAGGUCCUCCUGUGGAGAGGGAGAGGGAAAGGUGAGGGGCUCAGCAAUGGUCUGGGGUACCAGCUGGGGGGGUUUGUGCAACAGUACUGCAGAAAGUUGGAGGCAAAACAUGAAAACUUUGAGCAGCAGGUGCUCAGAGUAGAAGAAAACCCCAAAAUCUGGAAUUAUCUGCCUGCCAUCUCUGUAUGUUUGCUCUGACAAAGCAAGAAGUGGGUUUUGGCAUUUUUUCAGUCUGACAACUCUGAUAUUUUAGAUAGAGUGUGGAAGUGGAGAGUAGCUGAUCCUAAAACAUUAAACAAGGUUGUACCCCCAUGAACUCUCAUGUUACACAGAGAACUGAAAAAGUCAAAGUCUUUGAGAUGUAUGUUAAAUUUCUUUGUUUCUUGCCCCCUCCAUAUUUGAUGGGGGAGCUGAAAUCUCAAUACAAAUCCUAUUUCCAAAUCAAGGGGUCACUUCAAGAAAUAGUUAUAGAACAGGUACCUUUCCACUCCCUGGCAAAAUUUUUCUAAGGCAUGUUGUCAUCUGAUGAUAAUAAGGUCUUUCACUAGCAAAUCUCAAAUUAUUGGCCAUGUGACCUUAUAUUCAAUAAAUAUUUAUUUGAGAAUCAAAGGUUAAUUAAUUUCCAUUGUUUCUGUUUUAAUUCUAUACAUGCUUAUACUAUACAAUUAGAGAAAAACAUGGACAGCCACAAGUAAAUGUUGCUCAUACAAAAUGUUUCUAUUACCCUUUACUUUUAAAACCAUUAAUAGAUUAUUAGGAGAUAUAAACAUUGGAGACCAUGGAUCAUAUUUGCAUGUUAAUCAAAUCCAUGAAUUAUACAUGAUUUGCUAUGGAGAGUACUAGAAACAAUAUUCCUCCUUUCUAAUAGCUAUAAAAGCUGGAGGUUUCCUGGAGCACACAUCACAUCCCCUCUGCAAUACCUUCUAAUAGAAAGAAAGAAAUCCAGCUUUUCAAAGCAAUCUCUCGCUAAAUGAAAUAGAUUUGUUUGUGUUGCUUUGCAACACACAAGUGUGACAGUUCAUUUUAAACAAAAUAGUUUUAAUAAUGUCAUUACUAAUAUCUCUUUGGUCAUCUCUCUGAAAAAUUGUGUUUUAAUAGGAAUGUUUCAUUUUAAUAAAUGGCAGAAGAGGCAAGCUGCCCUGAGUCAGCAGGAAGUGGAUAUACACCAGAGAACAGGCUGAUUGUGUUAGAUUCAUCCAGAACAUUGAACAGCACACAGACAGUCCAAGAAAAAGCAACUGGCUGUAUUCAAAUGAUUAGUCUUACUGCUAUGCUGUAGCACAGAUUCACACAUUCUUCUAUUAUUCCUUGACCUUCUGCCAAAAACUCCCACUUCAAGUAAUAAUUAGAAUUAGUGUUUCCAGUGCAUGCUUCCAUCUUCCUAACAAACAGUAAUGAAAUGUGGCUUUUACAAAAUAUGCAGUUAAUUAAACUUUUUUUUUUUUUAACAUUGUUUGAUUAAUACAGUUCCCCUUGUGCUAGCCCCUCAUUAUGCCUCCCUACCUGGGAUUGGUGAAUUGAAAGAAAAGCACCAUCAAUAGGAUGAGUGAGAUUUCAGAAUUUUGCACUUUAAAAUUGCUUGAGCCUUUAAUUUUUUCUUCUUUUUGUUUUGCUUAGAUCUUGGAAUAAACUGAAAGGACAGCCUUUAUUUGUAAUCCUGUUUUUUUAAGUUGAGGACAGUAUGUGUAUUAUAUAACAACUCUACAAAUACCCUCAGUGUGAAUUUGAAGAACACAUAUAUCAAGUGCUGCAAGAUAACAAGUGGAUUUCCAGGCAAGCUUUUUGAAAAGAUGAUGAGGCAGGAAGCAAGCUACAUCUUGGAGAAAUUGCCCUCAGGAGAGAGGAAAAACUAUUGCGAGGUUGACAGCACAACCUUGUACCGGCACAGUUUCCCUUCCCCAGUGGUUCAAGGAGUUCCAAGCACCCUCCUGUAAAUCAUCAGCUCACAUCUAUUUAUUAUCUUCCAGCCCAGUGCACAACACUAUCUGUUACACACGGAUACCAGCAAUAUUGCAAGGUGGACUCAAGGGAUAAAAGACAGCAAACCCUGCACACCUCCUAUGCCUGAGUCACACCCACUAUAAAGCCAGGCUCUGUUCAUAAAGUGCAUGCUGUUGUCAGAAAUGAAACAAUAUGAACUGUUCCAGUUCAGAGUAGAGUUUAUGUAGUGUUUCUCCAAUAUGCUUGAUCUUAUCAUCUUGAUAGCUUUGUGUUAUUAUACAGAGACAAAAUUUAUCUACAUAGUAAUGGACAAAAUGUCUAUGAAAAUACUGCUAUUCAUUUAGUGAUUGUUGUUAUAUUUGGACUAGGCGCCAGCCUCACUCUGUGAUGCUUGUCCUGGAAUAUCAAUAAAUAAAUCAUAA